CAAAACUUGGAGCAUACAUGAGAAUUUUUUCAGGAGAUUGUUCACCCUCAGAUCUGGAAACAGCUUUGCAGGUUUGCUUUGUUAUGUUUGUUACAUUUAUGGCAAUAUUUAUUUAUCAUGCUUUUAUGAUGGAUACAAGUUUGAUGCAGCCAAGGAAUUUGAGAAAAUUCAUAGUGAAAUACUCAAGAAGCUUAGCAUCAUGUUUCAGUUUUAAUGUAGAGUUUACUGGGGAAAUUAUAAAGUACUUUCUAGUUCUUUUAGUGUUUUACUUGUGUGUUUAUGUAAAUAUAUUAGAUGUUGGUCCUUUAUAUAAGUCAUAGAGAUAAUUUUGUAAUUUCAUAUUUGCUGGAAAGAUCUAGAUUUCUUGAGGAAUCUUUAUUUAGAGUCCUUUUUGGUUAAUAAUUACUUUUUGGGAUCACUUAAAGGUUAAGGUUUACCUUUAGAGUCCAAGUCCUUAAAGGUUAAUUAUUACUUUAUAAGUCCAUUAAGUACCUGUGUUUGUAAUGUUGUUUCGAAGUUUUUGAUCAAUGUGAAUACUAGCAAUUAUGCUUCGAGUUGUGUGAUGCAAUUUAACCCUAUUUGUGAUGCCUAAGGAAGUUUAGAUAUGAAGCAUGAACCUUAUUUUACUGUUCACUGCUCGCAAAUCAUUUCGUCUUGUUUAAAUUUACUUCUUAAUUCCAUCAUUUCACAAAUCCUAAUUCUCCACCCAAAUUCUUGCUCAUUUUAGCCUUCAUAAAAGCCUCAAUUUUCAACAUUAAUUCUAAGACCUUCAGGUUGUCCUGCAUCAUAGUUGUAUCUGCCUUUCUGUGUCUCUUAAAAAGGAAUUUCAUUUUUUGUUUUCAGUUAGAUUUAAAUUGGGAACUGUUCUUGAAUCUAUAUGAUCUUUUUCCCCCUUCUUUUUGUUUGGAUGGUGGGGUGCAGGGGACAAGAUCAGAACACCGAUUUGCACACUGCCAAAUGCCAAUGUCACUUACACACUGUAGCGGUCAUUAUCAAAUAUCUCAAUUCAAUCAUACUUUAUUCCAACAAAGUGCAGUAAAAGAAUGCUACAUGUCAUUGCCUUUUCUCCCCAUCUGGUGCAAUGCUUUUUGUUAACUUAUGUGUCUUUUCUCCCGUUAUAGCUUAUAUUUGGGUUUUCCUUGUCCCUGUAGGACCUUCAUGUCUAAUCUCAUCUUUUGAUGCCGGUGGAGUGGUCAUUCCGCAUAGUAUCGGGCAAAACCAAAUUUCUCCCCUAUUAUCCCCCUGUUGACCCAUAAAAGUGUAAUUGCAAUCAUGAACAUCUUAUGUUCUGUAGAAAGAGAAUUAGGUUGUGUAUAUUUUUAUCAAAUAGCUACCUUGCUCAUCCUUUCUGUUUCAUUUUUGGUGUGGCUUGAAUAGCCUAUGGGAAACUUGGCUGAUGGGGAAGGAGAGGACAAUCAUGCCAUACUGAGUUGGAUGUAUCAGCAAUAAGAUGUCUCCUAGAUCAUCAUAUUAGCGUUCAAUAACUACUUCAUGUCUGACGAUUCAGAAGACAUGAGGAAAUAUUUUGUUUCUUUAUCUUACAUUCAAAACUAGAAAUGACCAUCAUGCUCUCCUAUCAUUGACAGUAUGAAGUAUCCUAUCCUGAUUCACUGAACCUAAUAUAUAGAAGGAUUAUCUUUAAGUUUUGGCAAAAAUUGGCCUCUUAUAUUAAUAUACUUGUUCCAACAGCUUGUCUAUCAACUAUUUACAAAAAAUGUAAUACCUGGGGAAGAAGAUGCCAAAAUAGUGAUGCAAAUGGCUGAGGAAGCAGUUCGUGCUCAAGAG
rnacentral:misc_RNA from 1 species